rnacentral:lncRNA from 1 species
GCACACAGCAGCUGCGCUGCAAGGCACCCCCCUUCGCCCUCUUCUCUCCUCCGGCGGUAGGCGUCGCCGGUCACCCCUCUCCCGACUCCCUCGACUUUAUUUCACUCAAGGUUGCCCCCACACACACAAACCAACACACGCCGCCCCUCUCUCGACGCCCCUCCUCUUCUCCCUCUCUCUCGGACUUCACGGCCGCGUACCACCAUCCCCGGCGACGAGCGCCGCUCUGUCAUCCUCACCAUCACCCUCGACCCCUCCAUUCUCUUCCUUCCGGCGACUGCAACAGCAAAAGCCACCGCCGACCGGUGACUCCGUCUCCCAUCUCUCUCUCUCCUGGGUCUGAUCGGCAGCAGCUGAGCCGCCGCCGACGCUCCUCCCUCUCCUCGGCUCAACCUUGGCCGAUGGUACCGCCAUCGCCGCCCUCAAAUUCCCAGCGAGUAGCAGCCACCAAACUGCCACCACCGCCGCCGUCGUUCUCCGCUCAACCCUCCACCCAGACCAGCUCCGACCAGCCCACCUCCUUCUCUCCAACCGUGGCCGGGCAGCAGCGGCACAGCCGCCGUGCCCUGCCUCCCUCCACUGAACAGCCCCGCUGUCCAGCCGCCGUCCACCCCCAUUUCAUCUCUCUCCCUCUCAUCUCACGCACACACCAACUAUGAGCUCACGCCCAGACACCACCCCUCGUCCGCCUCCCUCCUUGGCAACGGCGAGGGUGCCGCCACCUCCCUCUCGCUCUGCUGCGCCGGACGGACAACAGCGAUGAGCCGCCGCCGACCGCCGUAUCACUCCCCAGACUCGGCUCACACACCCAACAAAC